rnacentral:rRNA from 1 species
GAUGAACGCUAGCUACAGGCUUAACACAUGCAAGUCGAGGGGCAGCAUGAAAGGAACUUCGGUUCUUUUUGAUGGCGACCGGCGCACGGGUGCGUAACGCGUAUCGAACCUGCCUCAUAGAGUGGAAUAGCCUUCCGAAAGGAAGAUUAAUACCGCAUAAUGUUGAAAGAUGGCAUCAUCAUUCAACCAAAGGAGCAAUCCGCUAUGAGAUGGACCCGCGGCGCAUUAGCUAGUUGGUGGGGUGACGGCCUACCAAGGCGACGAUGCGUAGCCGACCUGAGAGGGUGAUCGGCCACAUUGGGACUGAGACACGGCCCAG